AUUGAACGCUGGCGGUAGGCCUAACACAUGCAAGUCGAACGCGAAAGUCCCUUCGGGAUGAGUAGAGUGGCGGACGGGUGAGUAACGCGUAGGAAUCUAUCCUGUAGUGGGGAUAACGUUUCGAAAGGAACGCUAAUACCGCAUACGCCCUACGGGGAAAGGCGGGGGAGUCUUCGGACCUCGUGCUAGAGGAGGAGCCUGCGUCGGAUUAGCUAGUUGGUGAGGUAAAGGCUCACCAAGGCGACGAUCCGUAGCUGGUCUGAGAGGAUGAUCAGCCACACCGGAACUGAGACACGGUCCGGACUCCUACGGGAGGCAGCAGUGGGGAAUAUUGCGCAAUGGGCGAAAGCCUGACGCAGCCAUACCGCGUGUGUGAAGAAGGCCUUCGGGUUGGUUAAA
rnacentral:rRNA from 1 species